rnacentral:piRNA from 1 species
UGUUUCAAGUAAUCUAUUGAUGCAUGUCAAGU